CCUACGGGUGGCAGCAGUGAGGAAUAUUGGUCAAUGGGCUUACGCCUGAACCAGCCAAGUCGCGUGAGGGAAGACUGCCCUAUGGGUUGUAAACCUCUUUUGUCAGGGAGCAAUUGGCGCUACGUGUGGCGUUAUCGAGAGUACCUGAAGAAAAAGCAUCGGCUAAACCGGUCCCAGCAGCCGCGGUAAUACGGGGGAUGCGAGCGUUAGCGGGAUUUUUGGGGUUUAAAGGGUGCGUAGGCGGAUUGCCAAGUCAGCGGUAAAGUCGCGGGGCAAAACCUCGCACUGCCGUUGAAACUGGCGUUCUUGAGUGGGCGUGAAGUAUGCGGAAUGCGUGGUGUAGCGGUGAAAUGCAUAGAUAUCACGCAGAACUCCGAUUGCGAAGGCAGCUUAC
rnacentral:rRNA from 1 species